CAGAUCUGGGUCAGGGAGUGUUGUAGUCAGGUCCUGUUCUUCUCUGGGUCAGGGAGUGUUGUCGUCAGGUCCUGUUCUUCUCUGGGUCAGGGAGUGUUGUAGUCAGGUCCUGGUCUUCUCUGGGUCAGGGAGUGUUGUAGUCAGGUCCUGGUCUUCUCUGGGUCAGGGAGUGUUGUAGUCAGGUCCUGGUCUUCUCUGGGUCAGGGAGUGUUGUAGUCAGGUCCUGGUCUUCUCUGGGUCAGGGAGUGUUGUAGUCAGGUCCUGGUCUUCUCUGGGUCAGGGAGUGUUGUAGUCAGGUCCUGGUCUUCUCUGGGUCAGGGAGUGUUGUAGUCAGGUCCUGGUCUUCUCUGGGUCAGGGAGUGUUGUAGUCAGGUCCUGGUCUUCUCUGGGUCAGGGAGUGUUGUAGUCAGGUCCUGGUCUUCUCUGGGUCAGGGAGUGUUGUAGUCAGGUCCUGGUCUUCUCUGGGUCAGGGAGUGUUGUAGUCAGGUCCUGGUCUUCUCUGGGUCAGGGAGUGUUGUAGUCAGGUCCUGGUCUUCUCUGGGUCAGGGAGUGUUGUAGUCAGGUCCUGGUCUUCUCUGGGUCAGGGAGUGUUGUAGUCAGGUCCUGGUCUUCUCUGGGUCAGGGAGUGUUGUAGUCAGGUCCUGGUCUUCUCUGGGUCAGCGAGUGUUGUAGUCAGGUCCUGUUCUUCUCUGGGUCAGGGAGUGUUGUAGUCAGGUCCUUCUUUUAUGUUUCCCUGACUUUCACUCCUCUGAAUGUGACACCAUCCCCUCUUCCGCUCCUCAUCUGUCCUGUGUGUUACGUGUUGAUUGUGUUUGCUCUUGUCUGUGUGUUAUGUGUUGUGUGUGUUUGCUCUUGUCUGUGUGUGUAUGAGAAAGACAACGCCAUUCAUUCAGCGCCACUCACAGAUGGCUGAUGUUGCUUAGUAACCAGGUGGCCUGUGGAAUCAUGACAGACUGUCCCUUCGUUGUCCUGAGAGACAUAGAGAGAGAGGAUAUGUACAACAAUAGAUAUUCUAGAAUGAGCUCUGUGGAGUAUACAGUAUAUAAUACACAGUGUAUCAAUGUGAAGUGACCAGUGUUCAAUGUCUCUAUAUACAUGGGACAGCAGUGAUGUGUGUGUGUGUGUGUGUGUGUGUGUGUGUGUGUGUGUGUGUGUGUGUGUGUGUGUGUGUGUGUGUGUGUGUGUGUGUGUGUGUGUGUGUGUGUGUGUGUGUGUGUGUGUGUGUGUGUGUGGGUGUAUGUUUGCAAAAAGCUCUCUAAGAUGCAGGGCAGAGUACAGGUGGGCACCUAUGGAUGGCUCUUCAACAGUCUGAUGGUCUGGUGAUAGAAGCUGUUUCAGAGUCUGUUGGUCUGAGAUCUGAUGCUCCUGGAACAUCUGCCAGACUGCAGCAGAAUCAACACUCUGUGGCUGAUGUCCCUAAUGAUCUUCCUGGCCUUCUUCCACACUGAGGGGUGUAAAUGUCCCCGAGGGCAGGCGGCGUACCCCCGGUGGUCAGG